GAGCCAUUAGCUCAGUUGGUAGAGCAUCUGACUUUUAAUCAGAGGGUCCUCGGUUCGAGCCCGAGGGGGCGUACCA
rnacentral:tRNA from 1 species